rnacentral:rRNA from 1 species
GUGUGAUGAAGGUCUUCGGAUCGUAAAGCACUUUCGACCGGGACGAAAACCCGCUGGCUAACAUCCAGCGAUUUGACGGUACCGGGAGAAGAAGCACCGGCUAACUCUGUGCCAGCACCGCGGUAAUA